GGAGAUAAUGAAGAAGAACAACUCUUUUUUGGUGAAGGAGUUCGGGAGGAGUCAUGACGGCGUGCGGUUCACCAAGGAGCCCAACAACCUCCUCAAUCUCCACUCCUACAAGCACUCUGGGUUGGCAAACAAGAAAACCGUGACCAUUCAAGGUGUGGGCAAAGAUCAAUCUGUGCUACUGGCGGCAAGUAAGACCAAGAAGCCCAACAACCUCCUCAAUCUCCACUCUUACAAGCACUCUGGGUUGGCAAACAAGAAAACCGUGACCAUUCAGGGUGUGGGCAAAGAUCAAUCUGUGCUGCUGGCGACAAGUAAGUCCAAGAAGCAGAACAAGCCCGCUGCUAUGUUGCAUAAGUUUGU
rnacentral:lncRNA from 1 species